rnacentral:lncRNA from 1 species
UUUUUUCACAGCUUUAUUGAGACGUGCUUAACAGACCGCCGUCCACCCGUUUAGUGUGCAGUUCCCUGGUUUUGGUGUGGCGACGGACUGCGCUGCCAUCGCCAGUCGUUUCAGGGAUCGUCUCAUCUCAAAAAGAAACCCUCCACCUGUUAGCUGUCACCCCCCACCCAACACCCCAGCCCUCAGCAGCCACGAAGCUAAUUUCUGUCUCUACAGCUGUCCCUGCUCUGGUCCUUUGGUGCGAAUGGAUGCAGGGGUCGCGGGGCCUGGCGGGUCUGGGUCCUCAGGGAGUGCGUUUCUGGAUGCGCCAGCCUUCCUUCCGCACAGACCUACCCUGCCUGCCUGCCGUGUCCCGGCCACCAGGUGCCUCAGAGGCAGCAGCAGGGGCACAGAGCCCUGAGGAGAAGACGUGGGGUGGAACCUGGGCGACGGUGACGGUCCGCGGGGCUGGGGUGGGGGUGGGAGGGCUUCCCGGAGGAGGAGGCCUUUUCCUGGAGAUGAGACCAGGGAGUCUGAGCCAGUGAGGGAGGGGGUCUGGGGCGGAUCCGAGCGGCUGGAGGAGCUGAGGGUCUUUGAGGAGAAGGAUGGAGGGGGUGUGGGGGCCGCGCGGUGGCGGGCAGCGGAUCUCUGGAAGGUGCCCGUUACAGGUGAAUGACUGAGGGACGAUUCCGGGAAGGCUGCGCACAGGGGCCCCUGCCUGGCAGUAGGAGCUCUCGGGCCUCCGAGACGGCAGUGCCCGUUACUUCUGACACAAUUGGCCGCAGAGGCAGGAGAGAGUCGGGGUGAGCUCACCCGGGGCUGCAGGCCCGCGCCCCCCCACCCCUGCUGGCUGUGCCACCUUGCGUUGCGCAGGGUGUGGGGACACGGGUCUGGAGAAUGGGGCUAGGAACGGUUGCUUACCGAGAUUCUGGUCCAGGGUGGUGACGAUGGACAGCUCUGAGCUCACCUCCUCCCACGGGCACCCCAAAGUUCCAACUAGUAGCAGAUCAACCAUGGAUGAGAAAGACUGGAAUCCAGCAGAGGAGGUUGGCACUAAAGAUAAGAGGGACUCUGAGAAGGAGAGGCAGAGCCACGGAACAGGCAAGACCCAUCCCCACCCCGGAGGGGGCGACUCACAAAUGGGAGAAUGAGUACAAUUGCAGAGGUUCCCCCCAAGGAGCGAGGUGUCUGGGCCCCACACCAGGCUCUGCAGCCCGGGGUCCCGCAACGGGAAGAUGAGCCCCCAGCAGAUCGAUCUCUGAAGGCCAGAGGUGCUUAUGUUCGGGGGACCCAGAGGGCUCUGGGAAAUAGGAGCGCCGCCCUUAAAAGGUGCACACACUCUGAGACCCAGGGUAGAAGCCACAGUUUGAAAGGAGCCCGGGUCAGAUCCACCUGCUAAUCCUGGAGAGUCUCCCGGGGAGGAGGAGGCAACUGGAGCUCACCCUGGGGACACGCACAACGGCAGCAGCUGUUUUGGCCGCUCUUUCUACCACGUGGACCCUGGUGCUGGCGAGCGCCAUUUAGGACUCCUCCCUUGCGCUCAUGAGGCCAGGACCUGCCCCCACCCGCCAGCCUGCCGGCGCCAGUCCUGGGACACCUCAGGCCAAGCAACUAGCUGGGCGGGGACGUGGCUCCACCCAUCAGUGGACAGGCUGCCUUAAGGCCCCCUGAGCCUACAGCUAUCCCUGGACAUGGCCCUCUCCAUCAGAAGGCCCAGGACUUGGCCCCACACACCAGUGGACAGGCACUAGACUUAGGACUUCUAGGGCCCUGCAGCCAGAGAUUCCUGGGACCCAGGUCCACCCACCAGAAUCCCUUGGGCCCUGGGCCUUCCCAUAAGUGUGUCAGAUCUAGUCUUGGGACCAGCUUCAUAGAUAAGUGGGCAAGCACUAGCUCAGGAAACCCUGAGUCCUGGUGUGCCUACCGGGAGGAGGACCCCAGCCUGAAGACAAACAACCCACAACCUGCCAUAGAAGGAUGCAGCCUACCUACUGGCAGGCCAGCACCCCCACCAGCAGGUCAAUACCAGCUCUGAGACACCUUGGCCGCUCAGCCAGUUGCCCUGGGAUUCAGACCCACUCAGCAGUAGACUGAUACAAGCUCUGGGACCCCUGGGUCCUGCAGCCAGAGAUCCCGGGACCUAGCUUUGCCUACCAGGAGCUUGGCACUAUCCCUUGGAUCUCCUGGACACCAAACCUACCUGCUAACAGGUGGUCACCAGCUCCGGGAUCACUGCAGCCCUGAAGCCUGCCUUGUCAGGACCCAGUCAACACACCAGCAGCCUUGGACCCUCCAGGCCUGGGCCCCACCCACCCGCAUGCCAACACCACUUCUGAGACACCAAGGACUCCUCAGCAAGCCACCCUGGGAACCAGCCCCACUCACCAGUGGGCCUGUACCAGCUUUGAGACUCCCCAGAACUUGCAGCCAGUCAUGUCUGGAACUGGCCCUACCCAUCAGGAGAGUGACAAUAGAUCCAGGAACCCUGGCCCUACAACUACCCACCUCAGAACCUGGCUCUGCCCACCAGUGAGCAGCACUAGCUCCAGGAGCCCUAGGGUUCUGCAGCCAGCUGCUUUGUGACCUAGACACCAACCAGUGGCUGGCAGCCUCCACACAAGGCAGAGGUUGGAUACCAACUGGAUCUGGGGCCAGCCAGACCUACAAGACCACUCCAAGUAGUCAGCCCACCAUAACAGAAGAACCCAUGCAGCCCACGUAGGGGACAUCCCUGGAACAUGCAGCCCUGGUGACCAGAGGGGAAUGCAGUGCUGGGACGUCAUAGGACAUUUUCUGCAAAAGGCUAUUUCUCCAAGGUUGGGACAUGUAACCAAGCUAUCAGAUAUACAGAAAUAGGAGUUCCUGUCGUGGCGCAGUGGUUAAUGAAUCCGACUAGGAACGAUGAGAUUGCGGGUUGGAUCCCCGGCCUCGCUCAGUGGGUUCUUAACCUGCUGAGCCACAAAGGACGCUUCCAAAAAUUCUUGACUGCUAAUUUUAUCAUCUGGCUCAUUCCUCGAUUAGUUUUGAUUUUUCUCCUUCCUGUUUCUUUUAUUUCUCUUUUUGCAUCUUUGGUAAUUUUUGAAUGGAUGCUGGAAAGUGUGAAAUUUACCUUGCUGAGCACUGGGCUAUUUCGUGUUCUUGUAAGUUUCUUGAUCUUGGUGCUGGGAUCUUACUUGGAAACCAUCUUGUUCAUUCGUCUUGCUUCUAAGCUUUGUUAGAUGAGACCAGAGUGGCAUUUUGUUAGGAGUGAUUUCCCCUACGACUAAAGCAAAACCCUUCUGAGCACUCUAUCUAAUGUUAAGUGAAUAAUGAGGUCUUCCGCUUUGGUUGACACAAAUCAGCAGUAGUUUCUGCCCUAGAGUUCUCAAGAUUUUGCUUCUAAUCCUUUCAUGCUGCUUUUCCUCCAGGCAUGGGUCUUUCUCACCUGCGUGUGCAGAUGAGCACUGAGUACUUGAGAGCAUCCCUGUCCCUCGCAGAGGCCAGAGCUCUCUGUGCAGCUCUGUCCUCUCAGAUACUUUGCCUUAUGAAGUCAGGAAGACCACUCAACUCUCCCUGGCUGCUCCUUUCCCAGGCUGUGACCUGGCAGUGUUCUCUGGGCAGGAAACUGGGG